UACAGAGGGCUCAAGCGUUGUUCGGAUUCACUGGGCGUAAAGGGUUCGUAGGCGGCGCGGUAAGUCGGGUGUGAAAUCUCGGGGCUUAACUCCGAAACUGCAUUCGAUACUACCGUGCUUGAGGACUGGAGAGGAGACUGGAAUUUACGGUGUAGCGGUGAAAUGCGUAGAUAUCGUAAGGAAGACCAGUGGCGAAGGCGGGUCUCUGGACAGUUCCUGACGCUGAGGCACGAAGGCCAGGGGAGCAAACGGG
rnacentral:rRNA from 1 species